rnacentral:rRNA from 1 species
AUUGAACGCUGGCGGCAGGCCUAACACAUGCAAGUCGAGCGGAGCGUCGGACGGGUGCGUAAUACUUAGGCAUCUGCCUGGUACUGGGGGAUAACGUCCGGCAACGGGCGAUAAUACCGCAUACUAUCAGAUGAGCCUAGGUCGGAUUAGCUAGUUGGUGGGGUAAAGCCCUACCAGGGCGACGAUCCGUAACUGGUAUGAGAGGAUGAUCAGUCCAACUGGACCUGGGACACGGUCCAGACUCCUACGGGAGGAAGCAGGGGGGAAUUUUGGACAAUGGGCAAAAGCCUGAUCCAGCCAUGCCGCGUGUGUGAAGAAGGUUUUCGGAUUUUAAAGUAUUUUAAGUUGGGAGGCGUUACCGACAGAAUAAGCCCCGGCUAACUUCGUGCCAGCAGCCGCGGUAAUUC